UACAGGGGGUGCAAACGUUGUUCGGAAUUAUUGGGCGUAAAGCGCGCGUAGGCGGCUACUUAAGUCGGAUGUGAAAGCCCCUGGCUCAACUGGGGAAGUGCACCCGAAACUGAGUGGCUUGAGUACUAAAGAGGGUCGCGGAAUUCCCGGUGUAGAGGUGAAAUUCGUGGAUAUCGGGAGGAACACCGGUGGCGAAGGCGGCGACCUGGGUAGAUACUGACGCUGAGGCGCGAAAGCGUGGGGAGCAAACAGG
rnacentral:rRNA from 1 species